AUACGUAGGGUGCAAGCGUUAAUCGGAAUUACUGGGCGUAAAGCGUGCGCAGGCGGUUUUGUAAGGCAGAGGUGAAAUCCCCGGGCUCAACCUGGGAACUGCCUUUGUUACUGCAAGGCUAGAGUACGGCAGCGGGGGAUGGAAUUUCCCGGUGAGCAGGGAAAUGCGUAGAUAUGCGGAGGAACACCGAUGGCGAAGGCAAUCCCCUGGGCCUGUACUGACGCUCAUGCACGAAAGCGUGGGGAGCAAACAGGAUUAGAUACCCUGGUAGUCCACGCCCUAAACGAUGUCAACUGGUUGUUGGGUCUUCAUUGACUCAGUAACGAAGCUAACGCGUGAAGUUGACCGCCUGGGGAGUACGGCCGCAAGGUUGAAACUCAAAUGAAUUGACGGGG
rnacentral:rRNA from 1 species